rnacentral:rRNA from 1 species
ACGCUCGACACCUACGGAGGCAGCAGUGGGGAAUAUUGCACAAUGGGGGAAACCCUGAUGCAGCGACGCCGCGUGAAGGAAGAAGUAUCUCGGUAUGUAAACUUCUAUCAGCAGGGAAGAAAAUGACGGUACCUGACUAAGAAGCCCCGGCUAACUACGUGCCUAGCACGGCCGGACGGUAAUCUGGAGGCGGGCUGGACGAAGGC